rnacentral:rRNA from 1 species
UUUUUAUGGAGAGUUUGAUCCUGGCUCAGGAUGAACGCUGGCGGCGUGCCUAAUACAUGCAAGUCGAGCGAACAGA